rnacentral:rRNA from 1 species
AAUUAUUGGGCUUAAAGUGUCCGUAGCGGAUUGGAAAGUCCUGGUAAAAUCGGGUAGCUUAACUAUCCGUAUGCUAGGAAUACUAUCAUUCUAGAGGGCGGGAAAGGUCUGAGGUACUACAGGGGUAGGGGUGAAAUCUUAUAAUCCUUGUAGGACCACCAGUGGCGAAGGCGUCAGACUGGAACGCGCCUGACGGUGAGGGACGAGAGCCAGGGGAGCGAACCGGAUUAGAUACCCGGGUAGUCCUGGCCGUAAACGAUGCAUACUAGGUGAUGGUAUGGCCAUGAGCCAUAUCAGUGCCGUAGGGAAACCGUUAAGUGUGCCGCCUGGGAAGUACGGUCGCAAGGCUAAAACUUAAAGGAAUUGGCGGGGGAGCACCACAAGGGGUGAAGCCUGCGGUUCAAUUGGACUCAACGCCGGGAAACUUACCAGGGGAGACAGCAGAAUGAGGGUCAGGUUGACGACCUUACCUAACGAGCUGAGAGGAGGUGCAUGUCCGUCGCCAGUUCGUGCUGUGAGGUAUCCUGUUAAGUCAGGCAACGAACGAGAUCCGCACCUUUAUUUGCCAGCAAGAGGUUACGACCUCGUUGGGAACACUAAAGGGACCGCCGUCGAUAAGACGGAGGAAGGAGCGGGCAAAGGCAGGUCAGUAUGCCCCGAAACCCCUGGGCUACACGCGGGCGGCAAUGGUAUGAACAAUGGGCUGUGACUCCGAAAGGAGAAACCAAUCCCGAAAUCAUAUCACAGUGGGGAUUGUCGGCUGUAACCCGCUGACAUGAACGUGGAAUCCCUAGUAAUCGU